AAGGUGUGAAUGUCCAUGUUGGAGCAAAGUUUGGUGUGGAAAAGAAGAAUAUAAUGAAACUUACUCUAAAUAUCCUAAGGGUUUAACUCAACUGUGCAUUAGAGAUUGCUCCUUAUGCCACAAAUUCAUCCUCCCUUUGUGAUUCUCUCCAAGAGCACCACUCAUGAAAACCAGCAGUCCUUUCUUUGAGCCAACCAACCAAGCUGAGUGAAUGCUAAGUUUGAAUAUACCUUUGAGAAAUCCAAAGUACAAGGAGGAGGUGGAGCAGUACUGGGGCUGUAGCUGUGUCAUAGGUUGCUGUGCCACGUGAUGGGUAUCUGUACUUCAAAAUAGAUACAAGAAAUUUGGAAAGGCUUGAGGAAAAUUAGGACUGUAAUGAUCUGGGGUCUGAAAACACAUCUUUGAAAGCAAGGAUGAAAUGUUGAAUGUUGCUACCAAGCAGCUGUGUGGGAAAGGCUUCUGAUGCCAUUGAGAAUCUUUAGCUCUGGAUAUGUCUUCAACUAAUAUAAGAAGUAAAGCUGCUCCAGAAAAAUGCUGGAAGUGUCUGACACUUCCAAUAGGAGUGACCUACCUGGAAUCAUCUUAGAUCCUCAGAUGUAUACUUCUUGUUUAUUUAUUUUUAUUUAAUAUUUAAUUUGUUUUUGAGCUAGCCUAGUUUCCCAUCAUUUUGCAUUUCAGAUCGAGUUCUGGUGUCUGAGAAAGUGUGAUCUCGUGUUGAAGGUUAUUUCUCAAGCGGAGCACUAAUAAGAGUUUGGUCACAUAAUGUUAUGACAUUGCUGGGUGUCUGCCAUUUAGAACUUUGUGUCACAUGUGAUUGAAAUCCAUGUAUGACCUGUUUCUGAAGGUGUCCAUGGUAGAGGCAUGUGAAAAUACCAACAUAUCUGGUGACAUGAGCUUACAAACAAAAUGAAACCACCAUGAAAAUGCUGAAGCUGUAAAGGUUUACACUCGAUCCAAAACACUGUGGUGCUGUGGUCAGGCAAUAUUAUUUUGCUGAUAGUUCAGACUGAACACAGCACUUUCACAUCUUCCCCGUAAGUCAAAAGAGAUGUUCACUUUUAGGGUAAUAAUGUCUGUCUCGAUCUUCUAAAGUUCCUCUGCUUGUUGCUUUAGAUUUAUUGUAUAAGGAUCUGCACAGGGGUGCUUUGUUGGCAGGUGUUACAACAGUGAUCGGGUUAUCUGGUGCAAUUCAAAAUGCUUAAAUGAUGUUGAAAAGCUUUUCCUCACACCGUAGCCUUGCAAACAGAUUGAUUUAUCUGUAUCACCCUCAGUAGUAGACCCCACGUUACGUUUGAGUGCAAUUGGUGAGGAGUAUUUCUGCCGAAUGGCUCUGCACGGAGCGUAUGUUUGUGUGCGUAAGCGUGCACAGGCAGAUGAGUUAUGUACCAGAAAUAAAAAGUGUGUGCGUUGGCAAGAUGCACUUUUUUGAUGCGUGAAGCUUAUUUUGUAAGCCGACCGUACACGAGCAGAUUGUGGUUCAUUUCUAGUAGUUAUUUCAGUUUAUUUGAUGGAUUCCGUAUCUUUUUAAAAUGCCACACUGAGGAUGGGCUGUGAAUAUUCAGGGUAGGAGCCACGCAGUUGGCCUGAGGUGGGUCAGGAAGUCAUGUUUAGUGGUGGGUAUUCUGUGGUGUUUUUUGUUCUGCUGUUCAAUCUCAUACGAAUUCUUCAUUGUUCAGAAGGAUUGUUGGUCUCUGAUAACAUGACCAUAAAAUUCCAUUUCCUCCCUUGGCCGUAAGCACAGCCAGAGUUGGGUUCAUUUUUGUUGCGUUAUUUGUGGCAUUUCCUAGUGAUGUCAGAACUCCGUUCUUAUUACUGAGUCCAAAUGGAGUGGGUGCAUUUUCACUUAAUGGUGCUAUGGGAAGUGGAGAUUGAUUUCUCAGGGAAGUGACCAACCUUCCUAAUGGUGGGUCUGCAUCCGCUGCAGCCGCUCCUCAGUGGCUCCAAAACCCCCAUUGUUAGUUGAAAAAAGUGACUGAUAUGCAAAUAUUGUUUCCUCUGGACUCCAGCAGUGCUGUGAUUUGAGCAUCAAUUAUGGAAGUGCUAUAAGGCACUUCUUUGUAACAGCGCUCGGAGAUUUACAGAGUCACUAUCUGGAGAUUCCUCGGGCUUUUAAUCCGAAUACCUGGGGAAAAAACAUGCAAUUCACACAGACUUCCCAUCUGAUAUUUUAUUAAUGAGAUUAAAUGAGUAAGCUAAAUUAUACAUGUAAAUCAAAUAGAGAACAGAGAGGGCUGAUACGAAGUCAGCACGUUAAUCAGGUUAUCAAGUUGGGUUAUGCGAUACUCUGUGAUCAGUGGCCUC